GGGGAUUUAGCUCAGUGGUAGAGCACUUGCCUAGCAAGUACAAGGCCCUGGGUUCGGUCCCCAGCUCCG
rfam:Rattus norvegicus chromosome 5, whole genome shotgun sequence.